UUUGGUUUCAGCAUGAACUGAUUAGAUCCUUAACGUUUUCCAGGCUACUACUUCUGUUGGUCUGGCACGCACAGCCUGAGGUAGACUCCAUGCCCACUGGGAAGCUUGAUCAAGAGUCACAUGCUGUACCAACUGAGCCAGUCUGGCACCCCAACCCUUACUGAAAUACCAAUGACCUUUGAAAAACAGAAUCCUUUAAAGCAUAUUUGUUGAUAAUAGAAAGUCACCAUCAUAUAGUAA